GAUGAAGAACGUAGCGAAAUGCGAUACUUGGUGUGAAUUGCAGAAUCCCGUGAACCAUCGAGUCUUUGAACGCAAGUUGCGCCCGAAGCCAUCAGGUUGAGGGCACGUCUGCCUGGGCGUCACAUAUCGUUGCCCAAUGCCUAUUGCAGUGCAAUAGGAAUUUCUAGGGCGAAUGAUGGCUUCCCGUGAGCGUUGUUGCCUCGCGGUUGGUUGAAAAUCGAGUCCUUGGUAGGGUGUGCCAUGGUAGAUGGUGGUCGAGUUAGAACGAUACCGAUCAUGUGCAUGCUCCCCAAAAUAUGGCCUCUAUGACCCACACGCGUCUUUUGACGCUCAUGACGAGACCUCAGGUCAGGAGGGGCUACCUGCUGAAUUUAAGCAUAUCAAUAAGCGGAGGA
rnacentral:misc_RNA from 1 species